CCACCGCGGUUAUACGAGCGACACAAAUUAAUAUUUUACGGCGUUAAGGGUGAUUAGAAUUAAUCUCAUCUUAAAUAAAGUUAAGACCCCAUUAAGCUGUCAUAUGCUCUCAUGCUUAAAAACAUCACUCACGAAAGUAACUUUAUACAAACAGAGUUUUUGACCUCACGACAGUUAAGCCCCAAACUAGGAUUAGAUACCCUACUAUGCUUAACUAUAAACAUUGUUAUUAAUGAACUUACCUUAAUAUCCGCCCGAGUACUACAAGCGCUAGCUUAAAACCCAAAGGACUUGGCGGUGCUCCAAAUCCCCCUAGAGGAGCCUGUUCUAUAACCGAUAAUCCGCGUUCAACCUCACCACUUCUUGCCUUUAACUGCCUAUAUACCGCCGUCGUCAGCUCACCCUAUGAAAGUAUAAUAGUAAGCAAAAUGACCUUUUCCCUCAAUACGUCAGGUCGAGGUGUAGCGAAUGAAGUGGGAAGAAAUGGGCUACAUUCUCUUUCCAGAGUACACGAACAGAAGUAUGAAAAUCUUCUUAAAGGCGGAUUUAGCAGUAAGUAAACUUUAGAACAUUAUACUGAAACCGGCCCUGGAGCGCGCACACACCGCCCGUCACUCUCCUCGAAUAAUAAUCACCCUAACUUUUAUAAAAAGAUCCAUAAACAAGAGGAGGCAAGUCGUAACAUGGUAAGUG
rnacentral:rRNA from 1 species